rnacentral:rRNA from 1 species
GAUGAACGCUGGCGGCGUGCCUAAUACAUGCAAGUCGAGCGAACAGACGAGGAGCUUGCUCCUCUGAUGUUAGCGGCGGACGGGUGAGUAACACGUGGAUAACCUACCUAUAAGACUGGGAUAACUUCGGGAAACCGGAGCUAAUACCGGAUAACAUGUUGAACCGCAUGGUUCAACAGUGAAAGACGGUCUUGCUGUCACUUAUAGAUGGAUCCGCGCCGCAUUAGCUAGUUGGUAAGGUAACGGCUUACCAAGGCAACGAUGCGUAGCCGACCUGAGAGGGUGAUCGGCCACACUGGAACUGAGACGCGGUCCAGACUCAUAGGGGAGGCAGCAGUAGAGAAUCUGCCGCAGUGGGCGAAAGCCUGACAGAGCAACGCCGCGUGAGUAAAAAAGGUCUUCGGAUCGUAAAACUCUGUUAUGGGGGAAAAACAAAUGUGUAAGUAACUAUGCACGUCUUGACGGUACCUAAUCAGAAAGCCACGGCUAACUACG